CAGAAGAGUCUUAUAUUUAGAUUUGUUAUUUUUUAAAUAUCACACUGGCUGCUGUUUAGGAAUGAUGCUGGAGGCUGACGAAGAUAAGGGUGGAAAGUGGGCAAUAAAUCAGGAGCUGUUGCAACAUUCCCAGCAAAGGAUAAUGGUGAAUAACAAAGACAAAACCGGGCCCUUCCACACAGUAGCUGGAACACAAAGGAAGAUCAGCCAAGCCUCAACAUAAUCUCAUAAAAAUUCUUCAAAUAUCCCAUUGUUAUGGAUUCAUACAUCAGGAAAGCAGAUGCCAAGAACCUGAACACCUUCUACUGGUAACAUAUAUUUUGGCGAGCCAGCCUGGAGACAAGACCACUAUGGGCAACUUCCUGUCUAUUCUACCUGGUGUCACUGUGGACAACUUCCUAUCUAUUCCACCCGAUUCACCGCUUGGCUACAUCCUCCACCAUUGGGAUGAAUUUGACCCUAA
rnacentral:lncRNA from 10 species